rnacentral:rRNA from 1 species
UACCAGCACCCCGAGUGGUCGGGACGAUUAUUGGGCCUAAAGCAUCCGUAGCCGGUUCUGCAAGUCCCCCGUUAAAUCCACCUGCUUAACAGAUGGGCUGCGGAGGAUACUAUAGAGCUAGGAGGCGGGAGAGGCAAGCGGUACUUAGUGGGUAGGGGUAAAAUCCGUUGAUCCAUUGAAGACCACCAGUGGCGAAGGCGGCUUGCCAGAACGCACUCGACGGUGAGGGAUGAAAGCUGGGGGAGCAAACCGG